rnacentral:rRNA from 1 species
GGGUGUCUGGUGGUGAUCCUAAGCUGUCAAGAAAAGCCUCGACGUCAGGGCAUGACGCGCCCGUACCCUAAACCGACUCAGGUGGUCAGGUAGAGUAUACCGAGGCGUUCGAGUGAAUCAUGGUUAAGGAACUCGGCAAAAUUCCUCCGUAACUUCGGGAUAAGGAGGACCCCGUGACGUUCCCCCAACUUCUGGGUGCGAGCGUUGUGGGGUCGCAGAGAAUAGGGAGAAGCGACUGUUUAUCAAAAACACAGGUGCGUGCGAAGUCGUAAGACGAUGUAUACGCACUGACGCCUGCCCGGUGCUGGAAGGUUAAGAGGAAGGCUCAACCACACUCGUGUGGUGAAGGCUUGAAUUUAAGCCCCAGUAAACGGCGGUGGUAACUAUAACCAUCCUAAGGUAGCGAAAUUCCUUGUCGGGUAAGUUCCGACCUGCACGAAUGGCGUAACGACUUCUCCGCUGUCUCGACCAUGAACUCGGUGAAAUUGCACUACGAGUAAAGAUGCUCGUUACGCGCAGAAGGACGGAAAGACCCCGGGACCUUUACUAUAGCUUGGUAUUGGUGUUCGCUUGGACUUGUGUAGGAUAGGUGGGAGACUGUGAAGCAGGGGCGCCAGCUCUUGUGGAGUCGUCGUUGAAAUACCAUUCUGGUUCACGCGGCCAUCUAACCUCGAACAGUCAUCCGGGUUGGGGACAGUGCCUGGCGGGUAGUUUAACUGGGGCGGUUGCCUCCCAAAAAGUAACGGAGGCGCUCAAAGGUUCCCUCAGCCUGGUUGGUAAUCAGGUGGCGAGUGCAAGUGUACAAGGGAGCUUGACUGUGAGACCGACGGGUCGAGCAGGUGCGAAAGCAGGAACUAGUGAUCCGGCCAUGGCACGUGGGUGCGUGGUCGCUCAACGGAUAAAAGGUACCCCGGGGAUAACAGGCUGAUCUUGCCCAAGAGUCCAUAUCGACGGGAUGGUUUGGCACCUCGAUGUCGGCUCGUCGCAUCCUGGGGCUGGAGUUGGUCCCAAGGGUUGGGCUGUUCGCCCAUUAAAGCGGUACGCGAGCUGGGUUCAGAACGUCGUGAGACAGUUCGGUCCCUAUCCUCUGUGCGCGCAGGAAACUUGCGGAGAGCCGUCCCUAGUACGAGAGGACCGGGAUGGACGAACCUCUGGUAUGCCAGUUGUACCGCCAGGUGCACGGCCGGUUGGCUACGUUCGGAAGGGAUAACCGCUGAAAGCAUCUAAGCGGGAAGCCUGCUCCAA